GGAAGGAUCAUUAACACGUAUCCAAACGUACCAACCAUUAUACGAACCAAAACUUGCGCCCUGACGGUGUUCGAGGCCACGACGAAUUCGUUCGGCGUGAAGCUCUCGGCAGCGUGCAGCUGGGAACGGCUGCAUUGCUGGUGCUCUGCCCGCAGCAGCAAUGUUGCGGAGCAUCCGCAUUGUACGGCUGCCUUUUAUUCCACAUCAACCCUUUUCUGGUUUGACGGAAAACAAAACUUCUAGCAUUGUGGUCUGUUAGCUUCGGCUAGCGUGACGGAUCUAGAUUUUAAAGAUAUUGAACGCUGAACAACUUUUAGCAACGGAUAUCUUGGUUCUCGCAACGAUGAAGAACGCAGCGAAAUGCGAUACGUAAUGUGAAUUGCAGAAUUCAGUGAAUCAUCGAAUCUUUGAACGCAAAUUGCGCUUCGGGGAAUCCCCUGGAGCAUGCCUCUUUGAGUAUUGGUUCUACCUUUCCCAGCUUGCCUGGUGAAGAAAAUGAGCAGUCUCGCUGGUCAAACAGCGCGUCUCUUCAAGUAGACGGCACGGCUCUUUGUGCUGCUGUGCGCAAUGGAAAGAUAGGUCACUUGCUGACUUGCUGCCGAUAACACGGCUAUUUUUCCGUUGCUGCGGUAUGCCGCGGUACUUCGGUACUGCGAGAGAUCGUCUGGCCGAGAUGUCGAUUGAGCGUCAUCGAGACGCUUGGCGGCAACUCAACACCUUUACACAAUCUAAUCUCAAAUGAGGUAAGAGGACCCCCUGAAUUUAAGCAUAUCAUUAAGGGGAGGAAAAGAAACUAACAAGGAUUCCCUCAGUAACGGCGAGUGAAGCGGGAAGAGCUCAAGCUUAAAAUCGGGCGCCUUACGGUGUUCGAAUUGUAGUCUAGAGAGGUGCGGUCAGCGCGUGGCCCGGACGUAAGUACUUUGGAACAAGUCUGUCAUAGAGGGUGAGAACCCCGUAUGUCGUUCGGAGACCGCCGCGUACGAUGCGCUUUCGACGAGUCGGGUUGCUUGGGACUGCAGCCCUAAUUGGAUGGUAAAUUUCAUCUAAAGCUAAAUAUUGGCGAGAGACCGAUAGCGAACAAGUACCGUGAGGGAAAGAUGAAAAGAACUUUGAAAAGAGAGUUAAAAAGUGCUUGAAAUUGCUAAAAGGGAAGCGAUGGAAAUCAGUCGUGUGCGGACGGUCCAGAUUCCUUAGAGCUGCGGCGCAGUUGUUCCGUGUCACCGUAAGGGGCCGGCGCUUCGGCAAAAACAGCUCCUAGUCUCUGAUCGUUCGCGAGUGCCAGGAUCAUUUCGGUUCGGAGCAGAUCCACUCGGAACAGGUAGGUUGAAUCGUCCUCGCGGCGUGCAGACUGUUUAGUUCCUUGUGUGUGCUACCGGGCUGGAAUGAGGCCACUGAAUGUGGGCAACGCGCGCCCUUGGGCGAGAUGCCGCUACCCCGGGACGUUAGAGCGUGUGGAAUGCAAUGCAUUGCCGCGCUCGAAGCGACUUGCUGGUGGUGGCCACUUUCUGCGUGUUCGCGAUCCUGGCGAAAUGGUUUUCACCGACCCGUCUUGAAACACGGACCAAGGAGUCUAACAUAUAUGCGAGUAUUUGGGUGUCAAACCCUGAUGCGCAAUGAAAGUGAAGGCAAGCGGUUUCGUUUGCUGAGGUGUGAUCCGCAAGGAGCAACAUCGACCGAUCAGUCACUUGUGAAAGAUUUGAGUAAGAGCAUAUCUGUCGGGACCCGAAAGAUGGUGAACUAUGCCUGGACAGGGCGAAGCCAGGGGAAACUCUGGUGGAGGCUCGUAGCGAUACUGACGUGCAAAUCGUUCGUCUGAUCUGGGUAUAGGGGCGAAAGACUAAUCGAACCAUCUAGUAGCUGGUUCCCUC
rnacentral:misc_RNA from 1 species